CUUCUCGUAGCGUAGUGGCAACGCGUCUGCCUAGUGAGUAGGAGUCGUGAGUUCGAGUCUUACCGAGCGGA
rfam:Aedes albopictus isolate Foshan contig23893, whole genome shotgun sequence.